rnacentral:rRNA from 1 species
AGNUUUAAAAUGACAUAUACAGAGGGCAACAAGAUUGAGAGGNGGAGAGAAUCCCAAAAAGUAUGUAGUAGUCGGGAUCGGANUNUGCAACUAAAAUAAAGAAGUAGGAAUCCAUAGUAUUCGAGGAUCAGAACACCACGGGGAAUAUGUUCCCGGGCCUUGUACACCCCGCCCGUCACACCCUGGGAGUGGGUUGCACCAAAAGUAGAUAGCUUAACUUUCGGGAGGGCUUUUACCACGGUGUGUUUCAUGACUGGGGAGAAGUCGUAACANNNUAACCAAAGGG